rnacentral:rRNA from 1 species
GACGAACGCUGGCGGCGUGCCUAAUACAUGCAAGUUGAGCGCUGAAGGUUGGUACUUGUACCAACUGGAUGAGCAGCGAACGGGUGAGUAACGCGUGGGGAAUCUGCCUUUGAGCGGGGGACAACAUUUGGAAACGAAUGCUAAUACCGCAUAAAAACUUUAAACACAAGUUUUAAGUUUGAAAGAUGCAAUUGCAUCACUCAAAGAUGAUCCCGCGUUGUAUUAGCUAGUUGGUGAGGUAAAGGCUCACCAAGGCGAUGAUACAUAGCCGACCUGAGAGGGGGCUCGGCCACAUUGGGACUGAGACCCGGCCCAAACUCCUACGGGAGGCAGCCGUAGGGAAUCUUCGGCAAUGGACGAAAGUCUGACCGAGCAACGCCGCGUGAGUGCAGAAGGUUUUCGGAUCGUAAAACUCUGUUGGUAGAGAAGAACGUUGGUGAGAGUGGAAAGCUCAUCAAGUGACGGUAACUACCCAGAAAGGGACGGCUAACUACGUG